CCUAUGGGAGGCAGCAGCCAAGAAUCUUCCGCAAUGGGGGAAACCCUGACGGAGCGACGCCGCGUGAGGGAAGAAGGUCUUCGGAUUGUAAACCUCUUUUCUUGAGGAAGAAUAAGGCUAUCAGGAAAUGGGUAGCUGAUGACGGUACUCAAGGAAUAAGCCCCGGCUAAUUACGUGCCAGCAGCCGCGGUAAUACGUAAGGGGCUAGCGUUGCUCGGAAUCACUGGGCGUAAAGGGCGUGUAGGCGGUAAUGUAAGUUAAAGGUAAAAGACCGUGGCUCAACUGGGGGGUUGCAUUUAAAACUGCAUUACUUGAGUCUGGUGGAGGGUGAUGGAAUUCCCGGUGUAGCGGUGAAAUGCGUAGAUAUCGGGAAGAACACUGAAGGCGAAGGCGGCGUCCUGGCCGACACCUGACGCUGAAGCGCGAAAGCGUGGGGAGCGAACGGGAUUAGAUACCCGGGUAGU
rnacentral:rRNA from 1 species